UGGGCGUAAGGAUGCGUAGGCGGAUAUUUAAGUCAGAUGUGAAACCCCCAGGCUUAACUUGGGGACUGCAUUUGAAACUGGAUAUCUAGAGUGCAGGAGAGGUAAGUGGAAUUCCUAGUGUAGCGGUGAAAUGCGUAGAGAUUAGGAAGAACAUCAGUGGCGAAGGCGGCUUACUGGACUGUAACUGACGCUGAGGCAUGAAAGCGUGGGUAGCAAACAGGAUUAGAUACCCUGGUAGUCCACGCUGUAAACGAUGAAUACUAGGUGUGGGAGGUAUCGACUCCUUCCGUGCCGCCGCUAACGCAAUAAGUAUUCCGCCUGGGGAGUACGAUUGCAAGAUUAAAACUCAAAGGAAUUGACGGGGGCCCGCACAAGCAGCGGAGCAUGUGGUUUAAUUCGAAGCAACGCGAAGAACCUUACCUGGACUUGACAUCCCCUGAAUAACCUAGAGAUAGGCGAAGCCCUUCGGGGCAGGGAGACAGGUGGUGCAUGGUUGUCGUCAGCUCGUGUCGUGAGAUGUUAGGUUAAGUCCUGCAACGAGCGCAACCCUUAUCCUUAGUUGCUACCAUUAAGUUGAGCACUCUAAGGAGACUGCCCGGGUUAACCGGGAGGAAGGUGGGGAUGACGUCAA
rnacentral:rRNA from 1 species